AAUAGAUACCCGGGUAGUCCACGCCGUAAACGAUGAGUGCUAAGUGUUAGGGGGUUUCCGCCCCUUAGUGCUGCAGCUAACGCAUUAAGCACUCCGCCUGGGGAGUACGGCCGCAAGGCUGAAACUCAAAGGAAUUGACGGGGGCCCGCACAAGCGGUGGAGCAUGUGGUUUAAUUCGAAGCAACGCGAAGAACCUUACCAGGUCUUGACAUCCUCUGACAACUCUAGAGAUAGAGCGUUCCCCUUCGGGGGACAGAGUGACAGGUGGUGCAUGGUUGUCGUCAGCUCGUGUCGUGAGAUGUUGGGUUAAGUCCCGCAACGAGCGCAACCCUUGAUCUUAGUUGCCAGCAUUCAGUUGGGCACUCUAAGGUGACUGCCGGUGACAAACCGGAGGAAGGUGGGGAUGACGUCAAAUCAUCAUGCCCCUUAUGACCUGGGCUACACACGUGCUACAAUGGACGGUACAAAGAGUCGCAAGACCGCGAGGUGGAGCUAAUCUCAUAAAACCGUUCUCAGUUCGGAUUGCAGG
rnacentral:rRNA from 1 species